rnacentral:rRNA from 1 species
UACAGAGGGUGCAAGCGUUAAUCGGAAUUACUGGGCGUAAAGCGUGCGUAGACGGUUACAUAAGUCGGGUGUGAAAGCCCCGGGCUCAACCUGGGAAUUGCAUUCGAGACUGCGUAGCUAGGGUGCGGAAGAGGGAAGCGGAAUUUCCGGUGUAGCGGUGAAAUGCGUAGAUAUCAGGAGGAACACCAAUGGCGAAGGCAGCUCGCUGGGACGUUACUGACGCUGAGACGCGAAAGCGUGGGGAGCAAACAGG